CUGACCUCAAAUCGGGUGGGACUACCCGCUGAACUUAA
rnacentral:rRNA from 1 species